rnacentral:lncRNA from 1 species
AUCUAGAAGGGGUAUUAUGGACAUUUUAAUUUUAAUUGGUCAAUGUGUGUUUCUUUAUUUUAAUCCUGACUACUAAAUCGAGAUUGAUCAAUAAUUCACAUCUGCAACCUAUGUGUAUUUCUAUCCACCAAUAAAAAAAUAAAAAAAAUAAAAAGAGAGAAAAAGAAUUGUUGAAAAAAAUACUCCUAUAUGUCAGGCGAACAGCUAGUACAACAACUACCCUCUCUUAUC